rnacentral:lncRNA from 1 species
CAAGUUUAUAAAAUUAUGUGAUUGACACCUUGUAAUAGGUCAUCAACAACUCAUAACUGCAGCAAGAUGGCAGAUAAUCAGCAUGAGAGAAGCAGAUAUGUCGCUGUGACAAUUGCACGUAUUGUUGGUCAUCACCAUUCCACUAUAAGUUGUUUUGAGAAUACAAAUCAGCCAACAAACGAUGUUAAAGACCUUCCGAGAUCAAGAAGACCCCCUAUAACAUCUGCUAGGGAAAAUCAAUCAUAAUGAAGGUUGGUCAGAAGGAAACCC